ACCACUGUCUCCCAGCAGGGGGCGGGCCGUUGUGGCGGCGGGGGCGAGGGCGGAGGACGGAGUGGACUGCAGCUUCAAGGCCGCUGCCACUUACCCGAGGGAUCACCACGCUCAUACCCAACUCUUCAGUCAGGGAAGCAGCAGCGGCAGCGGUGGCGGCGGGGCAAGCGGUGGCGGCGGCAUUGGCGGGGCGGGGGGCAGUCAGUUCAUGGGGGGGAGACGAUGGUGGGAGCCAGGAUGGAGGCAGCCAUGGGCUCUCCAGGCAGCAAGAGGCAACUUUCCUUCCUCCUCCUCCUCCUCCUCUUCCUCCUCUCCUGCUUCCUCCUCAGUUUCUUCUUCUUUCCCUGCCUGUGCCGCCGCUCCUGGUUCCUCCUCCUCCGCCUCCUCUUCCUCCUUUUUCCGAGAAGAUUCCAACAUGGCCGCCUCGCUCAUGAGACCGACUUUCGGACAAGACUUCUUCCAGGGUCACGUGUUUGGAGGGUCUCAGGGCGCUGUCAACUUGCAGGGGGCGCAGACCUUCUACCACUACGGGGCUCAGGGACUCCACCACUACUACAUGACGCCGAGAUAACUCACUCUGUGCCUUUCCUGCUGCCGCCACCACCACCACCAUUACCUUAAUCAAACCAGCAGUUCUGAAUACAUUACUACUGUUCCCCCUCACCUCUCUCUCUCUCUCUCUCUCUCUCUCUCUCUCUCUUUCUCUCUCUC